AGCUCGAGUUCAGGGGCUGCAA
rnacentral:miRNA from 1 species